CCUACGGGCGGCAGCAGUGAGGAAUAUUGGUCAAUGGUCGGGAGACUGAACCAGCCAAGCCGCGUGAGGGAUGAAGGUACAGAGUAUCGUAAACCUCUUUUGUCAGGGAACAAAGGCGGGGACGUGUCCCCGGAUGAGUGUACCUGAAGAAAAAGCAUCGGCUAACUCCGGUCCAGCAGCCGCGUUACUACGGGGGAUGCGAUCGUUAUCCGGAUUUAUUGGGUUUAACGGGGGCGCAGUGGGUCUGUUUAGUCAGCGGUCAAAGCCCGGGGCUCAACCCCGGCCCGACGUUGAAACUGGCAGUCGCGAGUGGGAGAGAAGGAUGCGGAAUGCGCGGUGUAGCGGUGAAAUGCAUAGAUAUCGCGCAGAACUCCGAUUGCGAAGGCAGCAGGCCGGCUCCACACUGACGCUGAGGCACGAAAGCGUGGGUAUCGAACAGGAUUAGAUACCCGAGUAGUC
rnacentral:rRNA from 1 species